rnacentral:lncRNA from 1 species
AAAUCCCAACAUUGCAUAGGAUGGAGUGAUAACAGUUAGGGUGGAAUCAAACUGCUAUAUCUGUGUCAUGUAAAUAGGCCCUUCCUCUGCCUUCUGUCCUUCCCAGGGCAGGACUUACCAGACAUCUACUUCAAAAGAGAGGUUGCUGAGUUCUUCUGCAUACACAGCUGUGUGUCUACACCUGCUGUGUGUGUAUGACGUUCUGUGGACCAGGGCGUUGAUGGGGGAGGUGAAACACCUUCAAUGGCCAGCUUUCAUCAGGACAGACCCCAUAAGAUCCCCAAGGAAAGUCCAGAAAAAGGUGAUGAUUCUAGAAGUCAGUGGCUGUGUGGGAGGUCGAAUGGAGGCUUACUGGGAUCCUACAGGGGAUUAGCAUGUAGAUUUGGGCCUGAGGCACUUGCCUUACAGUCACAAGUAAGAACCGAGGAAGAUGUUCCCACAGUAGUUUUACCUUUAAAUCUUUAUCAAGAGGCAGGCCAGCAGUGUCAAGUUCUCCUGCUUGAGAAAGAAGGUUCCCCUUCUUUUGAAAUGCAGUUUGCUAUAGUAGUAGAGGACAGGCAGUGACAGACGGGACGAUGUGAAAGGAGUUGGAUAAGUUAAAUCUUUUAAAUCUUCUGAUUCAGCGGCAGAAUUCAAGGGAGAAUUUCUGGGUUGUGGAAAUGUGGGAGGCAGACUUUAAAUAUGCAAGAUCGGCCUUUGUUUGUUUUAUCAGAAACCCUGAGAGCUAUCAUCUGGAAGCUGUACAUUCACUUGUAAAGCAUGUGAACUGCAGGGUAGCUCAGUGGUUUAGGUAUCAGGCUGUGGAGCUA